rnacentral:rRNA from 1 species
UGCAAGUCGAGCGGACAGAUGGGAGCUUGCUCCCUGAUGUUAGCGGCGGACGGGUGAGUAACACGUGGGUAACCUGCCUGUAAGACUGGGAUAACUCCGGGAAACCGGGGCUAAUACCGGAUGCUUGAUUGAACCGCAUGGUUCAAUUAUAAAAGGUGGCUUUUAGCUACCACUUACARAUGGACCCGCGGCGCAUUAGCUAGUUGGGGAGGUAACGGCUCACCAAGGCAACRAUGCGUAGCCRACCUGAAAGGGKGAUCGGCCACACUGGGACUGAAACACGGCCCAAACUCCUACGGGAGGCAGCAGUAGGGAAUCUUCCCCAAUGGACAAAAGUCUGACGGAGCAACGCCGCGUGAGUGAUGAAGGUUUUCGGAUCGUAAAACUCUGUUGUUAGGGAAGAACAAGUACCGUUCGAAUAGGGCGGUACCUUGACGGUACCUAACCAAAAAGCCACGGCUAACUACGUGCCAGCAGCCGCGGUAAUACGUAGGUGGCAAGCGUUGUCCGGAAUUAUUGGGCGUAAAGCGCGCGCAGGCGGUUUCUUAAGUCUGAUGUGAAACCCCCCGGCUCAACCGGGGAGGGUCAUUGGAAACUGGGGAACUUGAGUGCAGAAAAGGAGAGUGGAAUUCCACGUGUAGCGGUGAAAUGCGUAGAGAUGUGGAGGAACACCAGUGGCGAAGGCGACUCUCUGGUCUGUAACUGACGCURAGGCGCGAAAGCGUGGGGAGCGAACAGGAUUAGAUACCCUGGUAGUCCACGCCGUAAACGAUGAGUGCUAAGUGUUAGAGGGUUUCCGCCCUUUAGUGCUGCAGCAAACGCAUUAAGCACUCCGCCUGGGGAGUACGGUCGCAAGACUGAAACUCAAAGGAAUUGACGGGGGCCCGCACAAGCGGUGGAGCAUGUGGUUUAAUUCGAAGC